rfam:Plasmodium vinckei petteri strain CR unplaced genomic scaffold supercont1.9, whole genome shotgun sequence.
AGACUAUAGAAUAAGAGAGCAAAUCCGCCGAAUUUAAGCAUAUAAUUAAGCGGAAGAAAAGAAAAUAACAAUGAUUCCUUUAGUAACGGCGAGUGAACAAGGAAGAGCUCAAAAGGAAAAUCCGCUUCGUGGCGAAAAAUACGUUGUGGAAUUGUCUGGUUGGGGUUUAGUCUUCCCUAUACUUUUGUUAGGUACGAAAUUAGUAGGAAUACUAUUCCUUAGAGGGUGAAAGGCCCGUAGUUCCCUACAAUUAUAGGUGGACGAUUCCCUGUAGAGUUGUGUUCUUUGAGAUUGGAGCACGAAUAUGUGUGAUACGUUUCACAUAAAGCUAAAUAUUUGUAGGAGACCGAUAGUAAACAAGUACCGUGAGGGAAAGAUGAAAUAGCACUUAGGAAUGAGAUUUAAAUAAUGCCUGAAAUCGUUAAGAUGGAACGGAUUGAGAGAGAAAUAACGUAAGAUAGAAUUUACAUUUACCUCGACGGAGUGAGUUUUAUAAAUACAUAUCUUAUUAAAGAAGCAGGAGUGAACUUUUAGGAUAAUUAAAAUAUGGUCAUUGCGUAUUCUUUACAAACAUAUAAUGUGUUUUCUAAAGUUUUCGUAUAACUCCGCUAAAGGUUAUAUACGAGCUAUUUUGAUAUAUCCAGUUUACUGAGGUGUAAUAAAUUUGUAGGAGUGACGCCCAUACUUAUUUAAGUUGCUUCUAAAAAGCACUUUCUCAACCCACCCGUCUUGAAACACGGACCAAGGAGUCUAACAAAUGUGCGAGCGUAUAUAUGUUUUUAACUAUACAAUAAAGAAAUUAUACUUUAUUAUUACGCGUAAUUAAUGUGACCAUCUCUGGCUUAAACUGGAUGUAGAUUAUACUGAAAAUAAAUAAUAUUUAAUUAUCAUUUGAAGUAUAUGCAUACAAUACCUGUUGGCAAUAUGCUAAAUUGAGUAAGAGUAUAUUUGUUAGGACCCGAGAGGCUUUGAACUAAUCGUGGUGAGAUUGAAGUCAAACGAAAGUUUGAUGGAGGAUCGAAUUGGUACUGACGUGCAAAUCGUUCACUUCAACCGCGUUUAGGGGCGAAAGACUAAUCGAAAAGCCUAUUAGCUGGUUAUUUUCGAAAGAUCUCUUAGGAUCGCUGGAGUUGAUUAAUAUAGUUUUACGAGGUAGAGAUAAUGAUUAGAGGAAUCAGGAGCAUCGUUUUCCUUGACCUAUUUUCAAACUCCCAAUACGUAACAAGGGAUUAAUAUCUUAACUGUAUUUUUUUCACCUAUAAAUAUAAUAACUCCAAGUGGGCCAUUUUUGGUAAGCAGAACUGGCGAUGAGGGAUGAUCCUAACGCUUGGAUAAGGUGCCUAAAUAUUCGUUAAUAGAUACCAUUAAAGGUGUUGGUUCGUAGUGACACUAGGGCGGUCUUCAUAGAAGUCGAAAUCCGCUAAGGAGUGUGUAACAACUCACCUACCGAAUGAACUGGCCCUGAAAAUGGAUGGCGCUAAAACGGAUUACCGAUACCAAGCCAUAGAAAGAAAUAAACUAAUUGAGAUUUGCACCCUUGUUAGUUCUCGAAUCUUUCUAUGAGUAGAAAAUCGUGGGGUUUGUAUAGAAGUAAUAUGCGUGAGCUAUUGUGGAACAUAUCCCUAGUGCAGAUCUUGGUGGAAGUAGCAAUAUUCAAACGAGAACUUUGAAGACUGAAGUGGAGAAGGGUUUCUUGUCAACUGUGAUUGUACAAGAGUUAGCCGCUCCUAAGGGAAAGCUGAAAAGCAUUUAAAUGGGGAUUUGGUGUUUCAAGCAAUUGUUGCAUCUUUUCUCUGUCUCAAAAGGGAAACAGGUUAAUAUUCCUGUGCCUAGGUCAAUGUUAUGUAUAGAAGAUGGUAACAUAAUUUGGAGUGAACUUCUUAACGUAGGUUUUUCGGCCGGGAUGCGUUGCCUUUGCAUUUUAACUCUUAGGCGAACCUUGGAAUCAAUUUAAUUGGAGAAGAGGUCCGUUUAAUUGCAAUUCAGAAGGUUUUUAAGUGGGAAUUAUUAUAUAAUUCUCAUUUAAAAAAGUUCUGUUUUGUAGUAAUAGUAAUUCAUAAAUAGAAUUAUCGGUACGUAAAAACUACCCUUGAAAAAAGAAGGGAACAGCUAUAUGUAGUGGAUAUAUUUUGAUAUUUUCAAGAGAGAUAUAUAUUAAAGUGUAAGGUUUGUAAUUAAGCCUACAAAUCUUGCAAUUUGUAUAAAAUUACUUGUAAACGAUAAAUAUGUUACAUUAUGAUAGCAUAUAUAACGAUGCCACUUAGUGCGUACCCACAACCGCAUCAGGUCUCCUAGGUUAAUAGCCUCUGGUUAAAUAGAAGAAAGUAAGUAAGGGAAGUAAGCAAAAUGGAUCCGUAACUUCGGGAAAAGGAUUGGCUCUGAGGGCACAGAGUAAAAUUAUUAAAUUAGUGUUUGAAAAAAUGUAAAGCUUAUGGUUCGCUAUAUGCAUUUACAUUCUUGCUUUCUUAUGCUUUUUUAUUUAACGUUAUUCGGAACUAUGUAAAGUCCCUAUACCAUGACUCUUUAUCAUGGGUAGGUGCCUUUAUAUGGGGAAAUCGUGCCAACUCAGAACUGAAACGGACAAGGGGAACCCGACUGUUUAAUUAAAACAUAGCAUUGUGAAAGCCAUAAAUGGUAUUAACACAAUGUGAUUUCUGCCCAGUGCUUUGAAUGUCAACUUGAUGAAAUUCAAUCAAGCGCAGGUAAACGGCGGGGGUAACAAAGACUCUCUUAAACUAACAACGGUUAGGUCAUUAAUUGAUGACGUAAUUGGUGGAUUAACGAGGUUCCCACUGUCCCUACUUGCUAUCUAGCGAAACCACAACCAAGGGAACGGGCUUGGUAGAAUCAGCGGGGAAAGAAGACCCUGUUGUGCUUUACUCUAGUCUGGCUUUGUGAAACGACUUAAGAGGUGUAGCAUAAGUGGGAGCAGAGAUUGAAAUAUAUUUUUGUGACAGUGAAAUACCACUACUUUUAAGGUUGUUUUACUUAUCUAUUUACGAGGAUACUAUAUACAUAGCAAUAAGUGAGUUGAAAGAUAACUUAAGGUUAUCUUAUUAUCCUACCCAGGUGUAUAGAGACAUAGCCAGGUGGGGAGUUCGACCGGGGCGGUACAUCUGUCAAACAAUAAGCAGAUGUCCAAAGACAAGCUCAAAGAGAACAGAAAUCUCUUGUAGACUAAAAAGGGAAAAGCUUGUUUGAUUUCUAUUUUCAGAAAAAGUAGAAAACGUGAAAGCGUGGCCUAUCGAUCCUUUAUAUUUGCAAAAUGACGGGACUUGCUCCCUACUGUGCAUAUAGAGGUAUCUGAAAAGUUACCACAGGGAUAACUAGCUUGUAGCUGCUUAGCGUUUUAGCGACGUGGCCUUUUGUUUUUCGAUAACGGCUCUUCCUAUCAUUGGGACGCAGAAGUCCCAAAGUGUCGGAUUGUUCACCCGCUAAUAGGGAACGUGAGCUGGAUUUAGACCGUCGUGAGACAGGUCAGUUUUACCCUACUGAUGAAUUUAUUAUUAAUAUAAUGUAUUGUGACAGUAAUCCAACCUGGUACGAGAGGAGUAGUUGGUUCAGACAUUUGGUACAGCGAUUGGUUGACUAACCAUUGUCGCGAAGCUACGUCUGUUGGGUAAUGGCUGAACGCCUCUAAAGUCAGAACCCAUGCUGAUUAAACAAUACUAUUUGAUCAUUUUUGUUACACCUUUACUAUGAAAAAUGUAAAGCGAAAAUAUAUGUAUUCACAAUCAAAAAAUUGUUGAAUGUUAUUAUUCCUAUGAUCCAUAAGGAUACUUAUUUUUAAGUAUUCCUAUUGGAUAACGUAAUUUAACACCAAAAAAGAUAUAACACAAAUUGUAGACGACUUUUAAGUCUGAAGGUGCUGUAAAUGUGCGAGUAAACCCUGAUUUACGAGCUGUUGAGGCUUACCCUUCAUGACAAAGUGUAA